GUUUUUAAAGGCAGUGCUUUAAUGCCUUUCUAGUUGCCGUGUUAAUCUUUCUUUCCGCGAUAUCCAACUUAUCUACGUGGGGGGUCAUUAGGCUCCAAGUAGAUCCGGAAAAUGUUGAUUCUCUCCUCUUCUUAUUGUGAUAUAAAAUGUUUUUUGUUUCAUUUCAUUUACAUUGGGAAAUAGAGAAAAGAUCAUUGUGUUUUGUUAGUUUUAAAAACUUUUGAUAUAUUUGUAUUUUACAUUAUAAGCAGUCAACCGAUUGACAAACUAGAAUGAUUUGAAUUCCGUGUGGAAAGAGGUCGGGUUAAUUUCGAGUGUUAUCUGCAAUCUAGAUGUUUAUAAAUCAUUUCAGUCGUUGAUAUAAUAAUUAAAGGUCGACUGAACAUGAAUUAUAUUAUACAAUUUAAAGCGCAUUUCUGUUUAUGCACGCGAACCCGUCUAACGUAAUUGUUAUUUCGCGGUUAUAUAAAGUAGCAAAUUAUCGUUCCUGAAUAGGUGGCGCCGUGGUAGCCGAUCCUGUUCUUCAACUUCCGGUUUCUGCACUGUGCAACUAUUACAGUUGCAUUUUUAAUUAACGAUGCCAAGUACAUGUUGUUGUGUACCUGGAUGUCAUUCAAGAGGAGGACAUGCAUUUCCAAAUGACUUAAAAAGAAGGAAAAGUUGGAUCAACGCCAUGGCCCAUACGCAGAUUGGACGAGAACACGAUGAAAUCGUGGAGUCCAUCUCAAUCAGCUGUUGUUUGCAAGGCACAUUUUACUGAAAAAGACUACGUGCAGGAAACUAUUCAUGGGCGCAAACCCACCAUACAGAGACUUAAGUCUUCUGCCAUUCCCAGCCUAUUUUCCUGGAUUAAGCAAGAGACUGAAUCGUCCGCAAAAAGAAAAAUCAGGGCAGUUUCCUGUGAAAACGAAAGAACUAAACUUGAUGAAUAUUGUAGUAGAAAUCUAGAGGAAAGUUUUGAUUGUAAAGUUGGUUUUCCUAAAGAAGUCAUUCAUACUGCAGACAGGAUUUAUGACUGUCCACCACCAACUGCCGAGCUAAUGCUGAGCUUCACAGAUGGAAUUACGCAAACACCAUCAAUGCCUAUAUUUUUGCAGAGAAUUUUGAAAUGAAGACACGUGACACAGCCAUGCAUUUUUAUACCGGUUUAGAGUUGUAUACUAAAUUUUUAUUUGUUUUCACCACACUUGGUCCAGCAGCACAUUGUUUGAGAUACAUAUAUUUUCAAAUUGAUAGGGUGUCAUUUGAAAAUCAUUUUUUUUAUGACUUUGAUGAAAUUGAGGCAUUAUACAACCAACUUUGAACUGUCUAGAUUCUAGAUUGAAACUAGUGUUAAGAAUAUUGUGUAAACAUGGAUUGUUUUUAUGUCUAAACAGUGGCGUGAGGCUAACACUUGGCCAUUAAGUGGUUUAGUCAGGUAUUUUUCGCCAUCCAACUUCAAAUUAAAGUUUCCUACAACUUGGAUUAUUAUUGACAGCACAGAAUAUCCCGUGAUAAAACCUAGAGCUCAGGCAACCUUUUCAUCAUAUAAAAACAGAAACACUCAGUCACUGAAAAUACUUGUAUGUUCGACACCUGGUGGUUUAGUCAACUAUGUCUCUAAUGCAUAUGUUGGUUGUACCAGUGACUGUGAAAUAGUUGAAAGAUGUAGAAUAGUUCAUUUAUGUGAUCCAGGUGACAGUGUGAUGGCAGACAAAGGUUUAAAUGUGCAAGAUUUGUUUGCUCACUUUUUUCAAAAAAAGAAACAAAAUUAGUUCCAAAACUCUUAUACCAUGUAUACAGGGCCGGAUAGAAAAGUCUCCAAUUAACACGUGCACAUAGAGCUAAUUAUUGGACUUGGCAAAACAUACAAAAUUCUAAUAAAUCCUAUGAAUGGAACUGAAACAAAACUUUCAUCUGAAAUAACAUUUAGUUGUUUUAUGUUGUGUAAUUUUAGAACUUAUAUUGUGCCAAAGGAUGCAUAAAUAAAAGUGACACAAUGAA